rnacentral:lncRNA from 1 species
CUCAGAUACAAAAUGGCCUCACCGUCCGCGUUAUGGAGCAAGUCACCCUGGACAUUAGAAUGCUCGCUCUUAGGCAGUGUCAUCUGGAAACCUAAGCACACCUUAUGAGGUUUAAACCAAUCUUCCAAGGAAGUGUGUACCCACAAUCUGAAAUGGCCAAUUUAUAGGAACAAGCAUUCCAGAUGGCAUUUACUCGGUUGAUGACAGUUUAUCAGUUGCCUGGAGAGCAUUUGUAUUUCACCUAUUUUGGAGGGAACUCACAACUGAAAUUAUCACCAGAUACAGAGUGCAGAGAUAUGUGAAGAUCACUUGGAUCCAGACUGUUUUGAGAGCCAUCAAGCAACUACAGGGCCAUACACAACCCUACCAUAUUCAGAUUGAAGACUGACUACUAGCAUCACAGGACAAGACUAAGCAACUGGUAGAACAGGAAGACUGCCACAUGAGGGUAAGCCAACUGCAUGAGGAACUUUUCUGCUGCACUUCUCAGCUGCUUCCUACACAAGAGAAGUAACAAAUGUUCAAGGAUCCAGCUGUCAUGCAAGGGACAAUGAAAAGGAAAAGGAUAAAUUGACAAUACUGAAGAGUCGAAAAGCCAUGGCAGAAAGGGUUGAGGACGACGGUGUCUACAUCAGAACUUCCAGUACAACCUCCAGUUUGGCUGGCGUUGAGGCCUUGAUUUCUUCUGUAGCCAUGGCUCUCAGUGCUGUCAAUGGUAGCACUGUCAGUAGCAGAGCAUGAGACGUUGGAACAACCUUUGGGUUCAAGCACUCACAAAACAUUCAGGUUUUAAGAGCAAGUAUGAAACUGCUGAGUGCAUAAGAGGAGACAUAUUUAAGGCACACAGUGCUGACACUGCUGACAAGAGCAGUUGCACUGUUUGUAGAAAUGAUGAGAGAGAUGACUUGAUUAAACCUCCAGUAGACGGUAACUUUGUUAAAUUCCCAAAUUCUUACGGUGAAGAGUUUAGUUCUAUGAAAGAGGAUGACAGUUCUCAAGGAGUGUGCAGUUCAUUAGGCAAUGUCUUGUCAUACAGAUGUCGAAAUGCCCGCUUUUUUGCUUGUUAUAUGAAACAAUUUGUGCAUUUAGAAAUAAGUUAACCUAAAUGUUAAAUUACAAGUUUUAUUGAUUAUCUUGCAAGUAACUUGCUGUCACCAUGGAAUGAAUACUUAUUGGAGAUUAUAGUAAGGUUUUCGUUUUUGCUUAUCUGUAAAAAUUUUUUUUUUUACUAUAAUAAUUGUUAUGCCUCUCAAGGCUGAAGAAUGACAGAGCCUUCAUUUGAGUUAAAGGAGAUCUUGCUGAACAAUUUAUUUUAUGUCUGAAGCAGAUUAACCUCCUUGGCAUUGUAUCUAGAGUGUCACUUGGGCGCACAAUUUUAGGUAAAACCAGAUGACUCAUUCCUGGUAAGCUAGUAAAGUACUUGGGCAGUCCUGUCCUUUUAAAUGAAUUUGUGUUUCUGAGAAAUACUGAAGAUUAUCAAUUUCAACAUAAAAUUCCAACCCAAGGAUUACUUAGGAUGGAUAUCAAGGAGGUUAAGUGAAUGCGUCUUGGGUGUUAAAGAGUUAAACAUGAGAAAAAUGGCAUCAUGUGGUCCCAAUAUCGUGUUAGCAGUGUUUAGACAGCUUGAUGAUAUAUUUAGGCUUUCCAGUACAAGUAGAAUUAGUAUGAUCAUUUUAAGUCUCCCUGAUAUCAUGCAUAUAGUAUCUGAUGUUUUAAAUGGAAACAGCUGUGUGCAUACUUGUGUGUCUGCCGUAUACAUUCCAAGAAGUGUAUGUACCAGGCAGAAACACAUAGAGAAACAUGCACAUUCUUUUUUUCUCAAUGACCCCUCUAAUUUGAUUGUUCACAACUGAUGUCAAGAGAGAUGUGUGUAUGAUUUGUUUUUUCCAAAAUGGUGUGGGAAGUCAUUUGAAAGUCUAAAGGGCACAUGGUGGCAACGGGGAGAAGGAUAACGAGAACAGAAAGUACCAAGCGAUUCUUGCCAUGUAUGAAUGUCUAGAGUUUUUAUUAGAAGUAAUUUUUGUUGUGUUUACUAGGAAGUGCAUUAGCAUUUUGUUCCCUUUUUUUAUCUCGAAAAAGACUGAACUGCUGGAAGGAGCUCGUCUAUUUAAAUCGUUUGUGUGAUGAUCAAGAUAUCAAUGGUCAUGACCUAGAAGUUGGCUUCAAACUAGUGUCAUUUAGUGACAUGGAACAGCUCAUAUUUUUUAGAAAAGAUGAACAGAAGAUGUUUUUCUAAGUAGACAUGGCAUGAGAUAAGAAUACACAAUGUUAUUACUAGAAUAGUGUUCCACACUGAAUAAAAUAAUUGGUAAGUUGC